ACAAAWGACUCUCGGCAACGGAUAUCUCGGCUCACGCAUCGAUGAAGAACGUAGCAAAAUGCGAUACUUGGUGUGAAUUGCAGAAUCCCGUGAACCAUCGAGUUUUUGAACGCAAGUUGCGCCCGAAGCCAUUCGGUUGAGGGCACGUCUGCCUGGGCGUCACGCA
rnacentral:rRNA from 1 species